AUAAUUUUUUAUCCAAUUAAAUCGAUUCGGUCGGUCUGUCAAACUAUACACUCGAAUGAGCCACAAGUAGGAUCAUUCUCCGGUCUAGUUAGGGCAUUAUAUCCUCUCUUUCUCUUUCUCACUCUUUCUCUCUUGCACUGUGUGUCGGCGCGUACAUUCUACGAAUUCUUCCAAAUCAAAAUCUGUGCGGGACCUUAUUUUUGCUAUUAUCCUGUUGUCUUUUUCGCAAGUGAUAGUUGUACGGAGUAAAUCGUACAUCAGGGUGUAUCGGUGUGUUAUUUUUAUUAUCUUAAUCAUCCAAACAACUUCCAUACUACACUCUUUUUACUACUUUACAAUUAACCUCAAAAUCACCCCGGUGAGAUAAUUACUUUUUAUAAAUAUCAUUCUAUCAUUUUCUAUAGAAAGUCCGUGCAUAUCCGUGCGAUAAUCUAUUCGAGUAUUAUUUGUCUUCUUAUAUAAUAAAGUACGCAUUGCGAAAGUGUCGUAUAAAAUGUCGCGCAAUAAUAAUUAAUCAGAUUUUCGCGAGUGAACCACGAGUGAAUCACGAGUGAAUUGUGUUCUCUUAUACUGAGAGGAUGAGCAGGCUCAGGAGGUGUAUCGGGCAUCGGUGGAGCAACUUUGAGAUCAACUUUACAGAUCAACGGAACAAAAACUCCGCUGCUGCGCAUCGUGCCGUUGCAGGACUCCCAAUAUGCUGUACGCUAUCGCCAAGCAGCCGACGUAUCCG